ensembl:lncRNA
AGUAUCAUAGAAUCAUGGAAUCAUAGAAUGGCCUGGGUUGAAAAGGACCACAAUGAUCAUUGAGUUUCAACCCCCCUGCUAUGUGCAGGGUCACCAACCACUAGACCAGGCUGCCCAGAGCCACAUCCAGCCUGGCCUUGAGUGCAUCCAGGGAUGGGGCAUCCACAACCUCCCAGGGCAACCUGUUCCAGUGUGUCACCACCCCCUGAGUGAAAAACUUCCUCCUAGUAUCUAACCUAAAUCUCCCCUGUAUCAGUUUAAAACCAUUCCACCUUGUCCUAUCACUAUCCACCCUCAUAAACAGCCAGUCCCCCUCCUGUUUAUAUGCUUCCUUCGAGUAUUGGAAGGCCACAAUGAGGUCUCCCCAGAGCCUUCUCUUCUCCAGACUAAACAAGCCCAGUUCCUUCAACCUUUCCUCACAGGAGAGGUGCUCCAGCCCCCUAAUCAUCUUAGUGGCCCUCAUUCCAAGAGCUCUGCAUGUUUCUUGUACUGGGGGCCCCAGGCCUGGAUGCAGUACUCCAGAUGGGGCCUCACAAGAGCUGAGGAAAGGGAGACAGUCACCUCCCUUCCCCUUCUGGUCACCCCUUUUUUAAUGCAGCCCAGAACACAGUUGGCCUUCCAGGCUGCCAGCACACACUGCUGGCUCAUGUGCAGCUUCUCAUCUACCAGGACCCCCAAGUCCUUCUCUGCAGGGCUGCUCUCAAGGAAAUCUUCCCCCAGUUUGUAUAAAUGCCUGGGAUUUCCCCAACCCACGUGUAGCACCCUGCACCUGGCCUUAUUGAACCUCAUGUGGUUUUCACAGGCCCACUUAUCCAGCCUGUCCAGGUCCUUCUGGAUGGCUUCCCUUCCUUCCAAAGUAUCGACUGCACCACUCAGCUUGGUGUCAUCCGUAGACUUGCUGAGGGUGCACUUGAUACCAUUGUCUAUGUCACUGAUAAAGACGUUGAAGAGCACCAGUCCCAAGACCGACCCCUGAGGGACAUUGCUUGUGGCUGGCCUCCACCCUGACACAGACCCAUUGAUCACAACCCUUUGGCUGUGUCUAGCCAGCCAAUUCCUAAUCCACUGAACAGUCCAUCCUUCAAAUCCACACCUCUUCAAUUUAGAGAAAAGAAUGUGGUAAGGGAUCAUGUCAAAAGUCUUGCAGAAGUCUAGGUAGAUGACAUCCACUGCCCUUCC